CGUAAAGGGCUCGCAGGCGGUUUCUUAAGUCUGAUGUGAAAGCCCCCGGCUCAACCGGGGAGGGUCAUUGGAAACUGGGGAACUUGAGUGCAGAAGAGGAGAGUGGAAUUCCACGUGUAGCGGUGAAAUGCGUAGAGAUGUGGAGGAACACCAGUGGCGAAGGCGACUCUCUGGUCUGUAACUGACGCUGAGGAGAGA
rnacentral:rRNA from 1 species